UACGGGGGGAGCAAGCGUUGUUCGGAUUUACUGGGCGUAAAGAGCUCGUAGGCGGCUUGUUGCGUCAGCUGUGAAAAACCCGCAGCUCAACUGUGGGCUUGCAGCUGAUACGGGCAGGCUAGAGUUCGGUAGGGGAGACUGGAAUUCCUGGUGUAGCGGUGAAAUGCGCAGAUAUCAGGAAGAACACCAAUGGCGAAAGCAGCUCUCUGGGACGGUACUGACGCUGAGACGCGAAAGCGUGGGGAGCGAACAGG
rnacentral:rRNA from 1 species